GGCGGAUGGGUGAGUAACGCGUGGGUAACCUACCUUAUACUGGGGAAUAACAGUUGGAAACGACUGCUAAUACCGCAUACAAUGCGUAUGCCGCAUGGCAAACGCAUGAAAUAUUUAUAGGUAUAAGAUGGGCCCGCGUCCGAUUAGGCAGUUGGAGAGGUAACGGCUCCCCAAACCUACGAUCGGUAGCCGGACUGAGAGGUUGAACGGCCACAUUGGAACUGAGAACGGUCCAGACUCCUACGGGAGGCAGCAGUGGGGAAUAUUGGGCAAUGGGCGCUAGCCUGAACCAGCCAAGUCGCGUGAAGGAUGACAGAUCUAUGGUUUGUAAACUUCUUUUGCAGGGGAGUAAAGUGCGACACGUGUGUUGUAUUGCAAGUACCCUGCGAAUAAGCAUCGGCUAACUCCGUGCCAGCAGCCGCGGUAAUACGGAGGAUGCAAGCGUUAUCCGGAUUUAUUGGGUUUAAAGGGUGCGUAGGCGGGUUAUCAAGUCAGCGGUGAAAUUUUUCGGCUUAACCGUAAAAUUGCCGUUGAAACUGGUGAUCUUGAGUGCGAGCGAGGUAGGCGGAAUGUGCCGUGUAGCGGUGAAAUGCAUAGAUAUGGCACAGAACUCCGAUUGCGAAGGCAGCUUACUAGUACGCUACUGACGCUGAUGCACGAAGGCGUGGGGAUCAAACAGGAUUAGAUACCCUGGUAGUCCACGCAGUAAACGAUGAUUACUAGCUGUUUGCGAUAUACCGUAAGCGGCCGAGCGAAAGCAUUAAGUUAUCCACCUGGGGAGUACGACCGCAAGGUUGAAACUCAAAGGAAUUGACGGGGGCCCGCACAAGCGGAGGAACAUGUGGUUUAAUUCGAUGAUACGCGAGGAACCUUACCCGGGCUCGAACGGUGCAUGAAUAUACGAGAGAUUGUAUAGUCCUUCGGGACAUGUAUCGAGGUGCUGCAUGGUUGUCGUCAGCUCGUGCCGUGAGGUGUCGGCUUAAGUGCCAUAACGAGCGCAACCCUUGUCAUUAGUUGCCAUCAGGUCAAGCUGGGGACUUUAAUGAGACUGCCACCGUAAGGUGUGAGGAAGGGGGGGAUGACGUCAAAUCAGCACGGCCCUUAUGUCCGGGGCGACACACGUGUUACAAUGGGAGGUACAGAGGGCAGCUAUCCGGUGACGGAAUGCUAAUCUCCAAAACCUUUCUCAGUUCGGAUUGGAGUCUGCAACUCGACUCCAUGAAGGUGGAUUCGCUAGUAAUCGCGCAUCAGCCAUGGCGCGGUGAAUACGUUCCCGGGCCUUGCACACACCGCCCGUCAAG
rnacentral:rRNA from 1 species